rnacentral:misc_RNA from 1 species
UUGCAGGACACAUUGAACAUCGAUAUCUUGAACGCACAUUGCGGGCCUCGGGUAUUCCCGAGGCACGCCUGUCUCAGGGUCGGUUGAACCUAUCUAUCGUCGGUUGUCCGUAUUUGCCGACGCCUUGGACCGUCGCGGCGUUGACCGUAAAGCGUAAUCGGCUGACCGUAAUUGCCGAGAGCGCAGCGCGCCACGUCGUCCGAAGUACAGACGGGUCUGCCGCGAUGCUUUGCCGACCGGACGUCCUCAAUCCGCCUGUCGAUCGGACGGGGACGGCGACUCGGACCGUAAAGAGUAGCCGUUGUCUGUCCCGGCGGUACGGUUGGCAUAGCGUUGACGUUCGGCGGGCCCACGUAAGAAGCGAGCGUGCGUGCGGGCGGACGGAUGGAAGGACGGUUGGACGGGCGGGAAACUGCCUGACCGAC